rnacentral:rRNA from 1 species
UACGUAGGGUGCAAGCGUUAAUCGGAAUUACUGGGCGUAAAGCGUGCGCAGGCGGUUAUGUAAGACAGAUGUGAAAUGCCCGGGCUUAACCUGGGAACUGCUUUUGUGACUGCAUGGCUAGAGUUUGGCAGAGGGGGGUAGAAUUCCACGUGUAGCAGUGAAAUGCGUAGAUAUGUGGAGGAACACCGAUGGCGAAGGCAGCCCCCUGGGUCAAGACUGACGCUCAUGCACGAAAGCGUGGGGAGCAAACAGG